CUGGCGGCGUGCCUAAUACAUGCAAGUCGAACGGCUUUUCUAUGGAAGCUUGCUUCCACUGAGAAGAUAGUGGGCGAACGGGUGAGUAACACGUGGGUAACCUGCCCAUAAGAGGGGGAUAACAUCCGGAAACGGGUGCUAAUACCGCAUAGUUUUCUUGAUCGCAUGAUCGGGAAAGGAAAGACGGCCUUUGUGCUGUCGCUUAUGGAUGGACCCGCGGCGUAUUAGUUAGUUGGUGAGGUAACGGCUCACCAAGACGAUGAUACGUAGCCGACCUGAGAGGGUGAUCGGCCACAUUGGGACUGAGACACGGCCCAAACUCCUACGGGAGGCAGCAGUAGGGAAUCUUCCGCAAUGGACGAAAGUCUGACGGAGCAACGCCGCGUGAGUGAAAGAAGGUUUUCGGAUCGUAAAACUCUGUUGUCAGAGAAGAACAAGUUGGAGAGUAACUGCUCCAGCCUUGACGGUAUCUGACCAGAAAGCCACGGCUAACUACGUGCCAGCCGCCGC
rnacentral:rRNA from 1 species